UACGAAGGGGGCGAGCGUUGUUCGGAUUUACUGGGCGUAAAGGGCGCGCAGGCGGCUUUGUUUGUCAGGCGUGAAAGCCCCGGGCUUAACCUGGGAAUUGCGUUUGAUACGGCAGGGCUAGAGUUCGGGAGAGGAGAGUGGAAUUCCCAGUGUAGAGGUGAAAUUCGUAGAUAUUGGGAAGAACACCGGUGGCGAAGGCGGCUCUCUGGACCGAUACUGACGCUGAGGCGCGAAAGCGUGGGGAGCAAACAGGG
rnacentral:rRNA from 1 species